UACGGGGGGAGCAAGCGUUGUUCGGAUUUACUGGGCGUAAAGGGCGCGUAGGCGGCGCAACAAGUCACUUGUGAAAUCUCCGGGCUUAACCCGGAGCGGUCAAGUGAUACUGUCGUGCUAGAGUGCGGAAGGGGCUACUGGAAUUCUCGGUGUAGCGGUGAAAUGCGUAGAUAUCGAGAGGGAACACCUGCGGCGAAGGCGGGUAGCUGGGCCGACACUGACGCUGGAGGCGCGAAAGCUAGGGGAGCAAACGGG
rnacentral:rRNA from 1 species